AGCACUAUGGCUCUAAAAAACAAUGUACAGACUAAUUUAAAAUGCUUUAUUGCUUAAAAAUGCUGACACAGAGACAUGAAGUGGGCAUAUGCUGCUGGAAAAAUGGCACAGGCAGACUUGCUGGACACAGUUGCCACAAACCUUCAAUACGUAAAAAUUUAAAAACUACAGUUUCUGUGAAGCGCAGUACAGUGCAGUGUGGUAAAAUGACAUAUGCCUGUAUUUUCCUUUGUAACUUCUGACUAGUACAGCAGAGCUUUUGUAUGUGCUAGUUAGCCAAUAAAUG
rnacentral:lncRNA from 1 species